rnacentral:rRNA from 1 species
GAAUAUUGGACAAUGGGCGAAAGCCUGAUCCAGCCAUGCCGCGUGUGUGAAGAAGGUCUUCGGAUUGUAAAGCACUUUAAGUUGGGAGGAAGGGCAGUAAGCGAAUACCUUGCUGUUUUGACGUUACCGACAGAAUAAGCACCGGCUAACUACGUGCCAGCAGCCGCGGUAAUACGUAGGGUGCACGCGUUAAUCGGAAUUACUGUGCGUAAAGCGUGCGCAGGCGGUUAUAUAAGACAGAUGUGAAAUCCCCGGGCGCAACCUGGGAACUGCAUCCAAAACUGGCGAGCUAGAGUAGGGCAGAGGGUGGUGGAAUUUCCUGUGUAGCGGUGAAAUGCGUAGAUAUAGGAAGGAACACCAGUGGCGAAGGCGACCACCUGGGCUCAUACUGACACUGAGGUGCGAAAGCGUGGGGAGCAAACAG